GAGGUUGUGCGCAUGCGCACCAGAGACGCCUUCCUUGGCCCUGCAGAGCAUCCACGUGUGCAAGGGAACUGCACGGGUUCCGCAAGGGUGUGCGUGGGAUGCACGUGUGCGCGGGCAUGGGGUUUGCACGCGUGCCAGAGAUCCUCACACGUGCAAGGCAUCUGUAGGUGUGCAUGAGAUCCGUGCACGGCUGUGGGAUCCUGACGUGUGCCCGGGAUUGGUACUGUUACCUGGGAUCCGCAUGGGUGCGCAGGUGCUAUCCAUGUGUCUGGGAUCCAUGUGUGCCCGGGAUCCGCAUGUGUGCCCGGGAUCCACACGUGUGCACAGGUGCUAUCCGUGUGCCCAGGAUCUGCAUGUGUGCAUGGGAUGGACCCGUGUGCACAGGUUCUAUCCAUGUGCCUGGGAUCUGCACGUGUGCAUGGGACGGACCCAUGUGCCUGGGAUGGACCCGUGUGCACAGGUGCUAUCCAUGUGCCCGGGAUCUGCAUGUGUGCAUGGGACUGACCCGUGUGCCUGGGAUCGACCCGUGUGCACAGGUGCUAUCCAUGUGCCCGGGAUCUGCAUGUGUGCAUGGGACUGACCCGUGUGCCUGGGAUCGACCCGUGUGCACAGGUGCUAUCCAUAUGCCCGGGAUCUGCAUGUGUGCAUGGGACUGACCCGUGUGCCUGGGAUCGACCCGUGUGCACAGGUGCUAUCCAUGUGCCCGGGAUCUGCAUGUGUGCAUGGGACUGACCCGUGUGCCUGGGAUCGACCCGUGUGCACAGGUGCUAUCCAUAUGCCCGGGAUCUGCAUGUGUGCAUGGGACUGACCCGUGUGCCUGGGAUCGACCCGUGUGCACAGGUGCUAUCCAUGUGCCCGGGAUCUGCAUGUGUGCAUGGGACUGACCCGUGUGCCUGGGAUCGACCCGUGUGCACAGGUGCUAUCCAUAUGCCCGGGAUCUGCAUGUGUGCAUGGGACUGACCCAUGUGCCUGGGAUGGACCCGUGUGCACAGGUGCUAUCCAUGUGCCUGGGAUCUGCAUGUGUGCAUGGGACUGACCCAUGUGCCUGGGAUGGACCCGUGUGCACAGGUGCUAUCCAUGUGCCUGGGAUCUGCAUGUGUGCAUGGGACGGACCCAUGUGCCUGGGAUGGACCCGUGUGCACAGGUGCUAUCCAUGUGCCCGGGAUCUGCAUGUGUGCAUGGGACUGACCCGUGUGCCUGGGAUCGACCCGUGUGCACAGGUGCUAUCCAUAUGCCCGGGAUCUGCAUGUGUGCAUGGGACUGACCCGUGUGCCUGGGAUCGACCCGUGUGCACAGGUGCUAUCCAUAUGCCCGGGAUCUGCAUGUGUGCAUGGGACUGACCCGUGUGCCUGGGAUCGACCCGUGUGCACAGGUGCUAUCCAUGUGCCUGGGAUCUGCAUGUGUGCAUGGGACGGACCCAUGUGCCUGGGAUGGACCCGUGUGCACAGGUGCUAUCCAUGUGCCCGGGAUCUGCAUGUGUGCAUGGGACUGACCCGUGUGCCUGGGAUCGACCCGUGUGCACAGGUGCUAUCCAUAUGCCCGGGAUCUGCAUGUGUGCAUGGGACUGACCCGUGUGCCUGGGAUCGACCCGUGUGCACAGGUGCUAUCCAUAUGCCCGGGAUCUGCAUGUGUGCAUGGGACUGACCCGUGUGCCUGGGAUCGACCCGUGUGCACAGGUGCUAUCCAUGUGCCCGGGAUCUGCAUGUGUGCAUGGGACUGACCCGUGUGCCUGGGAUCGACCCGUGUGCACAGGUGCUAUCCAUAUGCCCGGGAUCUGCAUGUGUGCAUGGGACUGACCCAUGUGCCUGGGAUCGACCCGUGUGCACAGGUGCUAUCCAUGUGCCUGGGAUCUGCAUGUGUGCAUGGGACGGACCCAUGUGCCUGGGAUGGACCCGUGUGCACAGGUGCUAUCCAUGUGCCCGGGAUCCGUCUACCACCUGCAAGAGCCUCUCUGGCUGCUGGCUGCGGGCAGGGAGCAGGCACGUGCUGGUGCCGCCUGCGCCGCUGUGCAGUUUCCGGGGCUCGGUGUCGGUGCGCUGGCAGGAGGCAGCACAACCCAAGGACCCCAUCUUCGUCGUCCUGUCGUCAUCUCCAAGGCUCCCUCCUCCCAGCUGAGGGGGAAGCCCAUGACAAGCCCUCCAGGCGCUGCGCUAUCCUGCCGCCUGGCUGGAGGGUGCCGGCUGCUCCGGUGAGGAAGUCACUAAUGAAAGUCAAACAUGUCUGUUUUUGCAGGGGUCUCGCUGGAAAGCUGCCCAGACUUAAGUGUGAGCGCGUGACACCUGUGUAAGAAUGAAUCCCCAGGAAGCCAUAGAGAAAAAAACCCAAUUGCAAUGCCACAUUUCUAAAAGAGGUGGCAAAAGUUACACCCCCCCGACCAAAGCAAAAGGUGAGACUUGCAGCAGCAGCAAGGCAGAGCGCUGGAGAUCCCGAGAGAUGCCUUGACGAAGAAGGGCCGCGUGCUGAUGGAGACGCCGCAGGGCCUGAUUUGCUGUGGUAUCAAUGAGCCCAAGGUGUGGAUGGAGCGGUACGCCGUCCUGACGGAGCAGCAGGUGAGAGACCUCAUCUCCGUGCUGGAGGAAGCCAAGUUCAUGGGAGAUCCUUCCAGUAAGGAGCUUUAUGCUUUAUCUAGAAUCUGAAGACAAAUCCAUUUAUCUGGGGCCACAAUUCUGGGAGACUCCGAGUCACCUUGAGGGAGAUUCCCAGCCGGGGACUUCAAUCCACGAGGCCUCUCGCCUCCUGGGCACGUGGGACAUCCCCUACCAUGACUGCGAUGCUAAAUGCUGAGUAUGAGUUUGAGCUGACCCUACGGCACUGGGGAGACUACUGAUGCCAAAACCUCGAGCAGGGGCGGGGAGCAGAUGCCAAAACCUCGAGCAGAUGCAAGCAGGGGAGAUGCUCCAGCUGUGGGGAGACGGCGAGGAGCUCCGUCUGCAAGAGCGCCGUGCCUGACGAGCUCUUUGCUUGUCUGAACAACCGGAGGAGGAGCACUGAUAAAAUGCUGAGGAAGAAGUUGCUGCCGGCCCAGGACAGGCUGCAGCAGCAUGUAGUGGCACUUGGGGUAAUAGCUGAUGCUGUGGACGAGGUUCACAGAGAAGCCACGAUAGCAAAUGUUGCUGGAGGGAGAGCGGGCAUCACGGGCAGGAUCACCCACAUUGUGGCGCGCUGCAUUGUCCCCGAGACCUUUGUUGUAUGUCUGAUGCUCUCCAGCAGACAGCUUGUCAUCUAUAUAGUAGGCAGUGCGAUGGGUGCAGCAGUGACUGCCUCCGACAUAUCACUGGAGAGUCAAGCCAAGAAGGGGGAGAGAAGCAGGAUCCAGACAAAGGUCAGGCUGUGCUGAAGCAAAUCCAGAAGUGCAUAAAACAGCUCUCUAACGAACAACAGGAUUCAGAAAGCAAUUUUGAUCAUGAUCUGCUGCUUAUGAUCCUGCAAAUUGGGUCAGCAGCAAGGUGGACCGCUCUCAACACCAUGAAGAUGUUCAAAGGUGGAAAGCGGCUGAGUAAUGCCGGCUACGUUGCAAGAUUCGCAGGAGCUAACGUGUGUCCUGAUAACCCUGAAAACCUGAUCCGUCUUCUGUGUAGUCAAGAACUUCAAAGAUGCCAAAAGAGAGCUGACAUCUGAGAUCCGAGAGACAGCCGCUGAACUGGAGCGAGUGAUUUACCAAGCCAACUACACGUAUGAGGCACUGAUUGGAAAGAAACUCAAGACGACGCAACACUGCUGCUGGGUGCUGGCACCGGUGAGGUUGCAGCCCUGCACCUUGUGCCCCACCAUCGGCACAGAAAGCUGGGGGGCAUGUGCCCCCCCAUGCAUCACAUACGGCGAGAGACCAGAACCAAACCGUGAGGAAUAAUAAUGGGCCUGAGCAUCCAUCUCCAACGGCUGCAGCUAGCGUUAAAGGGACUCAGGACCUCACCCAACAAUGUGCGUAUGACUAGCGAGAACAUGCAGACAGUGCCCGUCCUGCAGGCCUCGGACAUGGGCAGUAUCUGAAAGGCCACGAUGGUAAGAAAUCCUCCCUUCCAGCAGUGUAUCUUGCCCCGGGACAUCAAUCCCAGCUAACUGGCACCUUCCCAGUCCAGAGGAAACCUGGUUCAGGCCCUUUCACAAACAUCAGUGAAACCAAGAAAUGUGACUUAAACCCAUCCAAAACACUUCUUAGACUAUUAGCCAGCUAUAUUAGUCUAUCCCCAGUGAACGCAGGGGAUAGGCUGGAGGGAAAACUGGAGGGCUCUGCAAAUGCAGGAAUGCUGGCUGAUGAUACGCGCCACCUUCCUCCUGGGUCUCAGGAUCCUUGUUGAUUCUUGUACCAGGACCAAUAAAAGCUCAGGCUACA